rnacentral:rRNA from 1 species
GAAGGUGGCAAGCGUUAUUCGGAUUUACUGGGCGUACAGGGAGCGUAGGCGGUUUGGUAAGCCCUCUGUGAAAUCUCCAGGCUUAACCUGGAAAAGUCGGAGGGGACUGCUGGGCUAGAGGACGGGAGAGGAGCGCGGAAUUCCCGGUGUAGCGGUGAAAUGCGUAGAGAUCGGGAGGAAGGCCGGUGGCGAAAGCGGCGCUCUGGAACGUUUCUGACGCUGAGGCUCGAAAGCGUGGGGAGCAAACAGGAUUAGAUACCCUGGUAGUCCACGCCCUAAACGAUGUUUACUAGGUUGUGGAGGCUCUGACGCCUUCACAGUCGAAGCAAAAGUGCUAAGUAAACCGCCUGGGGAGUACGGUCGCAAGGCUA